CCAUGAUUUAAUCGACGUGUCACUCGGCUUCUGAAAACCCAUACUUCCCUUUGACAUCCAUUGUCUCCAGUUGAGAAAACGCUAAACUGCUGAGCUUAUGUCGGUUGGAACCCUUUCAUCAACUAUUGCUCCACCCGGCAGCACCUUAGCCAGAAGACCAAGAUGCCAUCUUUACUUUCCAAUUCACGCUCUUUCCUUCUGCCCACGUUGACAGUGUGUGACGGUAUCCGUUUGAAGACAGUUUACUUUACAUGUAUGCAGCAUUCUUUAGUAUAACACCCGCGUUAAAUGUCGUUGGUCAUGUAGUAUGCUUCCAGCUUUCUACAUCACGUCUAGAUUCUUUUGUUUAAUGUAUGUCAUCCGCUGAAGAGUGGUUUGUUCUUGUUGUUUUUUUAAAUUGGCUUCUGGUAAAAAGUCCAUGUUCAUACAAUCAAUUCUUC